CCUACGGGGGGCAGCAGUGGGGAAUAUUGGACAAUGGGCGGAAGCCUGAUCCAGCCAUGCCGCGUGUGUGAAGAAGGCCUUAUGGUUGUAAAGCACUUUAAGCGAGGAGGAGGCUACUUUAGUUAAUACCUAGAGAUAGUGGACGUUACUCGCAGAAUAAGCACCGGCUAACUCUGUGCCAGCAGCCGCGGUAAUACAGAGGGUGCAAGCGUUAAUCGGAUUUACUGGGCGUAAAGCGCGCGUAGGCGGCUAAUUAAGUCAAAUGUGAAAUCCCCGAGCUUAACUUGGGAAUUGCAUUCGAUACUGGUUAGCUAGAGUGUGGGAGAGGAUGGUAGAAUUCCAGGUGUAGCGGUGAAAUGCGUAGAGAUCUGGAGGAAUACCGAUGGCGAAGGCAGCCAUCUGGCCUAACACUGACGCUGAGGUGCGAAAGCAUGGGGAGCAAACAGGAUUAGAUACCCCAGUAGUC
rnacentral:rRNA from 1 species